GAUGAACGCUGACAGAAUGCUUAACACAUGCAAGUCAACUGUGGCGGACGGGUGAGUAACUCGUAAAGAACUUGCCUCACGGAUAGGGACAACAUUUGGACACGAAUGCUAAUACCUGAUACUGUGAGAGAGCUUUGCGUCCCAUUAGCUAGGUGGAGAGGUAACGGCUCACCAAGGCGAGGAUGGGGAGCCGGCAUGAGAGGGUGAACGGCCACAAGGGGACUGAGACACGGCCCUUACUCCUACGGGAGGCAGCAGUGGGGAAUAUUGGACAAUGGACCAAAGUCUGAUCCAGCAAUUCUGUGUGCACGAUGAAGUUUUCGGAAUGUAAAGUGCUUUCAGUUGGGAAGCGGUACCAACAGAAGAAGUGACGGCUAAAUACGUGCCAGCAGCCGCGGUAAUAC
rnacentral:rRNA from 1 species